rnacentral:lncRNA from 10 species
GCUGCUUAACGAAGAAGGCAAAGGCCAGGAGUGCUAACACUGACUCUCUCAAAGUUAUAGAAGUAAUCACAGAAGAUCAAAGCCAGCAUCAGCCAGCCCAGGACUUCUGAACUUCUGGCACAUAAAUGACAGUCUCCUAGGAAAUAGACCGCAUAUUGGCCUUAAGGAGGUAUGUCAACUUGUAAGUCAAAAUAAGUGUCUCAGUCCUGACCACUGCGCUUCCCUGAUAAGCCAGCCCAGGAUGAGAUGCCCCACCCUGGCCACCAGAUUCCUCUCUCCAAGUCACUGCAUGGGGACACAGACAGCCCACACUGGGCUGUCUGCUCCAAAGCUGGAGUGCUUUCAAUAACUCAAUGCAGCGUGUCCAGAAACUGAAGGCUAUUCCUGAAUGCUGACUCUCCAGUGGCUGGGCCCAUUAGCUCUGGGUUCACCUCCUAGGUAGCACUGUCCCUGCUCCUGGAGUUCAAUUUUGGAUGACAGAAUGACAGAUGGACCGGAGGGGGCUGUAAAAAAUCCCAGUGGAAACUCAUCUAACAGAGGAGGAAAUCCUCACUUAAUCUUGUCUCAAAUGGAAAAACCCCAUGAUUAAUCUC